AGACAUCAUUUUUGGGAACCCUCCCUUGACUGACAAUUACUCCUUCCAAUAGCAAUGAAAUUGGCCGGGACCUAUACAGCUCUUUAGCCAAUAAGGAGACGAUUCCAACGGUAUGCCACGACCCGCCUCUCUAAUGCUGGCUUCCGCGCGAAAAUCGUGCAGGAUGGGUUUAUUGCGCAAUCCUCGACCUUUUCUCACUCUCACAGCUCAGGGUGUCAGGUUACAGCCUCUUUACACAACAGAAUAGUAGAGAGAGAAGCUGUGCUUGUUUUUGGCCAUUUAAACUGAGCAUGUGUGGCGAGGGUAAUGUUGUUACACUAGAUUAUUUAAAUUAUUAUUAAUUAAUUGUACUAACACAAGGCUUUUAUUUUGAAGUUCGUGUUAGAAGAGAUGGCACGGUGAUGAAUGGUCACGUGACCACUAGAAAAAUAUUAUUUUUAUUUCUUUUUCUACAAACAUUAUUUCUUUAUUGGUUUUGUUUUCUCUCCUUUUUGAAACUGUUCACCUUUUUAAAAAUUUUUAUUAAGAAUUGUAUAAUGGUCAUGUGCAAGCGUGAGGGUGGAGCUGACGUAAUUUCCGGUGUGCGCUCUCUUUCGCGGGAUUUCAAUGCGAUGAGAGGCACUUCUCGAUCAGACGUAAUCCUGUUACUGCCUGAUGCUGUCUGUUGUGUGUAACACAGGUAUGUAAAUAGAUAAUUUCAGUGUUCGUGCCUAUUCUUAGAUUUUCUUAUUUCUCAUGUUACAAUUGUAUGUUUGAUAUUUUGUUUUAAUGCUCUCUUUCGCGGGAUUUCAAUGCGAUGAGAGGCACUUCUCGAUCAGACGUAAUCCUGUUACUGCCUGAUGCUGUCUGUUGUGUGUAACACAGAGGAGAGAUCCCGAGAGGCCAAAAGUAAACCAUUUGACAACUGCA